GUUUGAGACCCUUUAACUCUUUAUUUUAUUUUAUUUUUAUGGAUUUCAAGGUGCUUGAAUUCUAAGUGCUUUAUGUUUUCGCUUUUCAAUAUGAAUAAUUGUCUUAUGUAGGAUUAAAUGUUUUAUUUUUUUAAUUGUGCGUCUCAAGUCUUGCAGGGGUGCUGCGCCUAAACUUUAGGACCCCUUUGCACCUUAAUGCACCUUGGGCUUUUAAUAACU
rnacentral:misc_RNA from 1 species